GAAAAGAAACCAACAGGGAUUGCCUCAGUAGCGGCGAGUGAAGCGGCAAGAGCUCAGAUUUGAAAUCGUGCUUUGCGGCACGAGUUGUAGAUUGCAGGUUGGAGUCUGUGUGGAAGGCGGUGUCCAAGUCCCUUGGAACAGGGCGCCCAGGAGGGUGAGAGCCCCGUGGGAUGCCGGCGGAAGCAGUGAGGCCCUUCUGACGAGUCGAGUUGUUUGGGAAUGCAGCUCCAAGCGGGUGGUAAAUUCCAUCUAAGGCUAAAUACUGGCGAGAGACCGAUAGCGAACAAGUACUGUGAAGGAAAGAUGAAAAGCACUUUGAAAAGAGAGUGAAACAGCACGUGAAAUUGUUGAAAGGGAAGGGUAUUGCGCCCGACAUGGGGAUUGCGCACCGCUGCCUCUCGUGGGCGGCGCUCUGGGCUUUCCCUGGGCCAGCAUCGGUUCUUGCUGCAGGAGAAGGGGUUCUGGAACGUGGCUCUUCGGAGUGUUAUAGCCAGGGCCAGAUGCUGCGUGCGGGGACCGAGGACUGCGGCCGUGUAGGUUCA
rnacentral:rRNA from 1 species